GAUGAACGCUGGCGGCGUGCCUAAUACAUGCAAGUCGAACGGUCUUUUCUAUGGAAGCUUGCUUCCACUGAGAAGAUAGUGGCGAACGGGUGAGUAACACGUGGGUAACCUGCCCAUAAGAGGGGGAUAACAUCCGGAAACGGGUGCUAAUACCGCAUAGUUUUCUUGAUCGCAUGAUCGAGAAAGGAAAGACGGCCUUUGUGCUGUCACUUAUGGAUGGACCCGCGGCGUAUUAGUUAGUUGGUGAGGUAACGGCUCACCAAGACGAUGAUACGUAGCCGACCUGAGAGGGUGAUCGGCCACAUUGGGACUGAGACACGGCCCAAACUCCUACGGGAGGCAGCAGUAGGGAAUCUUCCGCAAUGGACGAAAGUCUGACGGAGCAACGCCGCGUGAGUGAAGAAGGUUUUCGGAUCGUAAAACUCUGUUGUCAGAGAAGAACAAGUCGGAGAGUAACUGCUCCGGCCUUGACGGUAUCUGACCUGAAAGCCACGGCUAACUACGUGCCAGCCGCCGCUGUAAUAC
rnacentral:rRNA from 1 species